rnacentral:lncRNA from 1 species
UGGUCAUGCGCCGGAGGAAGAUACUGCACCAAUGAAAAUCCAAACUUUGUCUAAGUUUUUUUUGUUAUUGGCGGAAAGUAAUAAAGAGAAGCAAACAGUGGCGAAUAUAGAAAGUAUGGACAUGAUGGUUUUUAAUGCUUCUUCAAAUAAGAUGGAAAGCACAAUGGGAAAAUGCAAAAGAUCCCCAAAAAAGCAACACACUCGAUCAUCAUCCUCAUCUUCACUGCAAGAAAAAAUCCUAGUUAACAAU